rnacentral:rRNA from 1 species
GACGAACGCUGGCGGCGUUCCUAAUACAUGCAAGUCGAACGCAGUGGGGACGGGUGAGUAACACGUGGGUAACCUCCCCAUCAGAGGGGAUAACACUUGGAAACAGGUGCUAAACCGAUACUGAUGGAUGGACCCGCGGUGCAUUAGCUAAUGGGUGAGGUACGGGCUAACCAAGGCAACGAUGCAUCGCCGACCUGAUAGGGUGAGCGGCAACACUGGAACUGAGACACGGCCCAGACUCCUACGGUAGGCAGCAGUAGGGAAUCUUCGGCAAUGGACGAAAGUCUGACCGAGCAACGCCGCGUGAGUGAAGAAGGUUUUCGGAUCGUAAAACUCUGUUGUUAGAGAAGCGGUAUCUAACCAGAAAGCCACGGCUAACUACGUGCCAGCAGCCGCGGUAAUUC